rnacentral:rRNA from 1 species
UACGGAGGGUGCGAGCGUUAAUCGGAAUUACUGGGCGUAAAGCGCACGUAGGUGGUCAGGCAAGUCGGGUGUGAAAGCCCUGCGCUCAACCUGGGAAUUGCAUUCGAAACUAUCUGACUCGAGUAUGGGAGAGGGAAGCGGAAUUUCCGGUGUAGCGGUGAAAUGCGUAGAUAUCGGAAGGAACACCAGUGGCGAAGGCGGCUUCCUGGACUAAUACUGACACUGAGGUGCGAAAGCGUGGGGAGCAAACAGG